CAGAGAGGACAAAAAUGGAUGCCUAACAGAGAGGACAAAAAUGGAUGCCUAACAGAGAGGACAAAAAUGGAUGCCUAACAGAGAGGACAAAAAUUGAUGCCUAACAGAGUGGACAAAAAUGUAUGCUUAAUUCAAGUGGUAUACACAGUAGCAAUUAUGUUUUACUCAGUUGCUUUAUGACUCUAAAACCUAAUUUAAAGAAUAUUUCACUCGAAACUGAGAUUUGGUGAACUCCGUCAGAUUAGUCUAAAAUCUCAAAAGAAUCAGGAUUGAGUAGGGUCAGCUAUGCCAUAAGGACCCCUUUUCGUUAGAUUACGAUAGAAUAUGAAUUUUGGUUAAAAUAUGUUACAUUUAAGUCACAGAGGGCUCUUGCAUAAAACUACAUAAGAUUGCGUUUCAGUUAAUAUCCAUUAUUACCAUUUUUUAUUUUUAUAAAAAAAUAAUUUUGGGGAGUUUGAAAUUGGGAUCCUUUGCUCAGGACAGGGCAUUUCCAGGCAUAGAGCCGACAUGGAAAUUAAUAAUAUUGAGAGUAUUUAGAAGAUUUGAGAAAGAAAAAAAAAUAUAUAUAUGUGUGUGUGUGUGUGUGUGUGUGUGUGUGUGUGUGUGUGUGUGUGUGUGUGUGUGUGUGUGUGUGUGUGUGUGUGUGUGUGUGUGUGUGUGUGCUAUGCCAGUGGAUCUAUGACACUGUGACCUUGUGAGUGUCCCUGUGAGGGGGUGGACUGGGGCAGUGGAUCUAUGACACUGUGACCUUGUGAGUGUCCCAGGGGGAGUGGACUGGGGCAGUGGAUCUAUGACACUGUGACCUUGUGAGUUGUCCCCGGGGGGAGUGGACUGGGGCAGUGGAUCUAUGACACUGUGACCUUGUGAGUGUCCCGGGGGAGUGGACUGGGGCAGUGGAUCUAUGACACUGUGACCUUGUGAUUGUCCCAGGGGGGGGUGGACUGGACCAGUGGAUCUAUGACACUGUGACCUUGUGAGUGUCCCAGGGGGGGUGGACUGGAGCGGUGGAUGAAACACUACAUUACUGUUCCACCUGCUGCCAUCCAUGUUGUUGCUGAAAGCCUACAGAGCCUGAACAGAGCCUGCACAUUGCCUAUAGUGUGACUCCCACCAACUUACUCACACAGAGCAAGCUGUGGUAUUGUAUUAGAAAAAAUGUGCACAUCAGUGACGUUCUACUGACGUCUCGAGAGACAUUUUAAUUUGUGAUGAUUUAUGUACAAUGUUGCCUAAUAUGUGACAGUCAUUGGUCAAUGGUCAUACGUUAUACUAUUGUUAUAGACAUUCAAUAAGAUUUUAAUUUGAGGCCAUGUGGCAGAAAGUGAUAAGGGAAGCUAGUGGGUCUGGGAAGGUGUGAUGUCGUUGAUGUUUGUAUGAUGUAUUUUGUAUCUUUUGUAUUGUUUCUCAAAGAUCAAAUAAAAUCAACAACAAAAAAAUAGAUUGUAAAAGAUGAUUGUGGUUAUUCGUCAAGGAAAAGGGUUGAGGUUCAGUUUGAACUAAGUGUUGCACUACGGCCUCUUCAAGUUGGGCCUUUGGAAAAGUACGAUACCUGUGUGUCAGUAAGGAGAAUACGGACGUGUGUCCACUUUGGUAAAAGACACCGAAAAACGUUGUAACCAUCUGGCUACCACUAGAGGGCGUAGUAGACCUGCAUUCACUUAUCCACUUCUGAGCAUCAGAAGAAGACAGAAAGAAGCAGCUCCAUUAUUAUGAGUCAAGUGAAGCAUCAUUGAA
ensembl:lncRNA